CGGCGGACGGGUGAGUAACGCGUGGGUAACCUACCCUGUACACACGGAUAACAUACCGAAAGGUAUGCUAAUACGGGAUAAUAUAUUUGAGAGGCAUCUCUUGAAUAUCAAAGGUGAGCCAGUACAGGAUGGACCCGCGUCUGAUUAGCUAGUUGGUAAGGUAACGGCUUACCAAGGCGACGAUCAGUAGCCGACCUGAGAAGGUGAUCGGCCACAUUGGAACUGAGACACGGUCCAA
rnacentral:rRNA from 1 species